rnacentral:rRNA from 1 species
GAUUAACGUUGGCAGUGUGCCUAACACAUGCAAGUCGAGCGAUAUAGCGGCAGACGAGAGAGUAAUAACAAGGAACUUACCCCUUAGCGGAGGAUAGCCCACCGAAAGGUGGGGUAAUCCUGCAUAAUGUCGAGAGACCAAAGCCUUCGGGCACUAAGGGAGAGGCCUUGUUCCUAUCAGCUAGUUGGCGGGGUAAUAGCCCACCAAGGCGAUGACGGGUAGCUGGCCUGAGAGGGUGACCAGCCUCGAUGGGACUGAGACACGGCCCAUACUCCUACGGGAGGCAGCAGUUGGGGAUUUUGCACAAUGGGCGCAAGCCUGAUGCAGCAACACUGCGUGAAGGAUGAAGGUUUUCGGAUCGUAAACUUCUUUUGUGUGGGAAUAAUCUUGAAGGUACCACACGAAUAAGCACCGGCUAACUACGUG